AUAGACCGCACGUCCGAUCGAUCAGAUCAGGGUGCAACAAAGUUCAAAAAUUUUUUCUAUCCAAUGGGUGAUCAUAUCAAGAUUUGAUCUUGAUCGUAGCCAAAUAGAUCAUGCAUUAAGAAUAAGAGAAAAAUAAUGAUUUAAAUAAUUUAAAUCAGAAUAUAAGAUGAUCACAUCACAUUACUAACGGAUGUUACACAUCCGGAAUAUGCAUGC
rnacentral:lncRNA from 1 species